UAGUGUCUUGAGUCAUGGCUCAGGACGAACGCUGGCGGCGUGCUAAUACAUGCAAGUCGAACGAAACUUUCUUACACCGAAUGCUUGCAUUCACCGUAAGAAGUUGAGUGGCGGACGGGUGAGUAACACGUGGGUAACCUGCCUAAAAGAAGGGGAUAACACUUGGAAACAGGUGCUAAUACCGUAUAUCUAUAAGGAUCGCAUGAUCCUUAGAUGAAAGAUGGUUCUGCUAUCGCUUUUAGAUGGACCCGCGGCGUAUUAACUAGUUGGUGGGGUAACGGCCUACCAAGGUGAUGAUACGUAGCCGAACUGAGAGGUUGAUCGGCCACAUAGGGACUGAGACACGGCCCAAACUCCUACGGGAGGCAGCAGUAGGGAAUCUUCCACAAUGGACGCAAGUCUGAUGGAGCAACGCCGCGUGAGUGAAGAAGGUCUUC
rnacentral:rRNA from 2 species